CAGUGUCUAUGCUGAGAGCUAUGAGAGUGAUCAACAAACUGAGGAGACAAGCAACAAUAGCCACCACAGGGAAGUUCAGAAAAAUCUAACUGAUGAAAAUGUUUAGCAAACAGCCUGGAGAAAAUACAUGGGAAAUGAUCCAGCAAACCUGGCCUGGAAGCCUCAGCCUGGGCAAGCAGAGCUGCAUGGCACAACCACAGAAACCCUGAGCACCUCAGCGCCCGCCUGGCCCUUGGCCACAGCACGGACCUGGCACCUCUGAGAGGACCAGAGCUCAGAAUCUCAGAAUUCUGGGAAAAUCUUCAAAGUCUUUGAUAGAAGCUGCACAAAACUUCCUCAGACAAAAGGCUGCUUCUAGGAGAUCCACGCCCACCACAUGGAUUUCGAUACAAGAGUCAAUGGAGGGAUUGGUGCCAUCCUAUUAUUUCCUUGAGGAAGGGGCCAAGGAUGCUGCCUCAGCCCUUGGUUUAGGGUCACAGCUUGUGAAUGCACAGAUUCAGGGAGACUACAAGAAGCUACUGCCAGGCCAGAACUCCUGAUCUUUAACUCCUGAUCCUUAAUUCCUGCUCAGGCCUGGAUUGGUACUGCUGAACACCAUUGGAAAAUGGACACAAUACCUGCACUUAUCAUGGAGCUGUUGUGCUGACCAGCAAGCCUGUCUACCAGAUUGUCAGAAAAUGUCUUCAAAAUGGCCAGCGUGAGGCUUCCACCAAGAUUUAUCAACAAAUGAGUCAGAAAAACCCCACAUUAUGGAACCAGGA